rnacentral:lncRNA from 1 species
GAGAGAGAGAGAGAGAGAGAGAAUCCAACUACUAUCUUUUUAGGAGGACAAAGACCUUCAUUCUUCUAAGUCGUUUUAGAUGAUAGAGAUUUCAAAUCGAUAAUCAGAACGGUUAAAAUUGAUCUAGAGUAUUUAAAAUAUCUAAAAACUAAAUUUUAUGAAUUUCAAAAUUAUUUACAUAGUGAUCAAAAGAUUACAAAAUUGACAUUUUUUUAUAGGUACUUGUUUAAUGGUGGAGAACAAUUCCAACUGGUUGAAUUUUUAUAAAAUUUUUUUUAUGCUAUUUAGAUAAUGUUUGAUAGCUCCGAUUGUGAAUUGCAAAAAGUCUAAUAUAUAUUUUCGCGAGGAGAUUUAUUUUUUACCGUUCAUUUUUCAACUCUUCAAUGUACUUGAUAAUAAAUUUUAAUAAUUUAUAAAAUUUAGUUUUUAGACGUUAUAAAUCUCUAGAUCAACUUUAGCGAUCUCGAUCAUUAAUUCGAAAUUUCUAU